UAGCUCAGUUGGUAGAGUGCCUGCUUCACAUGCACAAGGCCCUGGGUUCAAUCCCCAG
rnacentral:tRNA from 1 species